GACGUAGGGCGCGAGCGUUGUCCGGAUUUAUUGGGCGUAAAGAGCUCGUAGGCGGCUUGUUGCGUCGACUGUGAAAACCUGCGGCUCAACCGUGUGGUCUGCAGUCGAUACGGGCAGGCUGGAGUUCGGUAGGGGAGACUGAAAUUCCUGGUGUAGCGGUGAAAUGCGCAGAUAUCAGGAGGAACACCGGUGGCGAAGGCGGUUCUCUGGGCCUUACCUGACGCUGAGACGCGAAAGCGUGGGGAGCAAACAGG
rnacentral:rRNA from 1 species